rnacentral:lncRNA from 1 species
UACAGCCUGCCUGCCUGUCGUGCAAGUGGUGGUGGUCUAGUCUGUAGUACGAUGGAUGGAUGACCUCUAACCUCUGGCCCUCAAACUUGCAUCUCUGCUGCGUGUCUCCGCCGUCGUCGCCGCCAAACAUAAACACCACCACCACCACCACCACCACUACCACCACCACCACCACUACCACCACGGCCGCCGCCGCCGCCGCCGCCGUCAUCAUCAUCAUCAUCGUUGUCGUCAUCGACGCCGUCGCCGUCGCCUUCGCCACCACCGCGUUUAAGCAGGUCACGUGAUGCUUAGUGUAAGAAACAUGCGCUGAGCAGAAAAGAGUUUCUCUGUUUAGGAAGUUGAAGCCAAUAUGUUGUGUGUUGCUGCCUUGUAAAAAGAGAGAAGUAAGUUUCUGUUGCUGUUGUUGUUGUUGCUGUCGUAGUCGUCGUCGUCGUCGCCGUCGUGGUCGUCAGUGUUGUUGCUCUUGUUGUUGUUCUUCUUGCCAUAGAUGCUACUGUUGUUGUUGUUGUUGUUGUUUUUUACAUCUUCUCCUUCUUCUCCUUGUUCAUGCUGCUACUGCUGUCGUCGUCGUCGGCGGCGCCGCUGCUGCUGUGGUCGUCGACGUCGACGUGGGUGCUGCUGUUGUUGUUGCUGCUGCCGACGCUGCCGAUGCUGCUGCUGUUGGAUUGUAGUUAGUAAUUUCACUGUUGUAGUAGUUUAUACUUGUUGUUUCUGCUGCUGCUGCUGCUGCUACUGUUGCUGCUGCUGCUGCGCCUGCUGCUGCUGAUGAUGAUGAUGAUGUUUCUGUUGUUGUUGUUGUUGUUGCGUUGAUCAUCGUGAUAAUGGUGGUGGUAGUUGUUCUGUUGUUAUUACAGUUACUGUUGUAGUUUUGUUGUAGUAGAUAUUUGCGUGGUAGUAUAGGUGUAGUAAGCAGUGGUUGCUUUCUACUAGCAGUUUUGUUGUAGUACUAAUAUUUGCGUGUUAGUAUAGGCAUACUAAGCAGUGGUUGUUUUCUAGUAGGAGUUUUGCUGUAGUACUAAUACUUGCGUGUUAGUAUAGGCGUAGUAAGCAGUGGUUGUUUUUAGUAGCAGUUGUUAUAGUACUGAUAUUUGCGUGGUAGUAUAGGCGUAGUAAACAGUGGUUGUUUUCUUGUAGUAGUUUUGUUGUAGUACUAAUAUUUGCGUGUUAGUAUAGGUGUAGUAAGCAGUAGUUGUUUUUAGUAGCAGUUUUGUUGCGGUACUGGUAUUUGCGUGGUAGUAUAGGCGUAGUAAACAGUGGUUGUUUUCUAGUAGUAGUUUUGUUGUAGUACUAAUACUUGCGUGUUAGUAUAGUCGUAGUAAGCAGUGGUUGUUUUUAGUAGCAGUUUUGUUGUAGUACUAAUAUUUGCGUGUUAGUAUAGGCAUACUAAGCAGUGGUUGUUUUCUAGUAGUAGUUUUGUUGUAGUACUAAUAUUUGCGUGUUAGUAUAGGCGUAGUAAGCAGUGGUUGCUUUUAGUAGCAGUUUUGUUGCGGUACUGGUAUUUGCGUGGUAGUAUAGCUGUAGUAAGCAGUGGUUGUUUUCUAGUAGUAAUUUUGUUGUAGUACUAAUAUUUGCGUGGUAGUAUAGCUGUAGUAAACAGUGGUUGUUUUCUAGUAGUAGUUUUGUUGUAGUACUAAUAUUUGCGUGGUAGUAUAGCUGUAGUAAGCAGUGGUUGUUUUUAGUAGCAGUUUUGCUGUAGUACUGAUAUUUGCGUGGUAGUAUAGGUGUAGUAAGCAGUGGUUGUUUUAUAACAGUAGUUUUGUUGUAGUGCUGAUAUUUGCGUGGUAGUAUAGGCAUAGUAAAUAGUGGUUGUUUUUUAGUAGCAGUUUUGUUGUAGUGGUGCUGUUCUUAUAUUGCUUUUGCUUGGUACAUUAUUGGUGUUGGCGUUGGUGCUGAGGUGGCGCUAGUAUACUAUCGCUGUUACAGUUGCGGUGGUAGUAUUCCCUUUAGAGUUCUUGUAGUGUCGUUCGAAGUGAUGGCUGCGGUGGUAGUAUUGACUGUUCUACCAGUUGUGCUGGUGGUAGUAGUGACUUACUUCCGUGCUGUUGUUUGGGUGAUAGUAUUGGCUGUGGUAGUGUCAAUCGUGGUGGUAGUAGUUGAUGUAGUUUUAGUUGCAGUGCCGGUAUAACAACUGUUGCUGCUGCUGUGAUUGCUGUAGUAGUAGUAGUAGUAGUAGUAGUAGUAGUAGUAGAAGUAGUAGUAGUAGCGGCGGUAGUUGUGGUGGUGCCGGUAUUGGCACUAGUGGCAGUUGUCUCGUCACGUUCCUGUAGUAGUAGUAGUAGUAGUAGUAGUAGUAGUAGUAGUAGUAGUAGUAGUUGUAGUAGCCACUGCAGUAGCGUGUCUGGUGGUGGUGGUGGUGGUGGGUUGUCUUGGCGGUAGUGUCACAAGUAGUGUGGUCGCGUUGAGCCGUGGUGCGGUGGUAGCGUUGCCGUAGUGGUUGAGGUGGUAGUGUCACUAGUGGUAGUACAGAACAGUUAUUGAUGUUCGUGAUACGAUUGUU